GUCUUUUUGAGUUAUUUUUAAAGUCUGACCUGCCCACUGAAUAUUUUUAAAUGGCCGCAGUAUUCUAACUGUGCAAAGGUAGCAUAAUCAUUAGUCUUUUAAUUGAAGGCUGGUAUGAACGGUUGGACGAAGUAUAAGCUGUUUCAUAUAAAAUUAUAUUAGAAUUUUAUAUUUUAGUUAAAAAGCUAAAAUAUUAUUAAAAGACGAGAAGACCCUAUAAAUCUUUAUAUUUAAUAUUAUUCAAAUUUUUUUGAUUAAUUUUAUUUUUAUAAUAUUAAAUAUUUUGUUGGGGUGAUAUUAAAAUUUAACAAACUUUUAAUUUUGAAUUAGAACAUUAAUUUAUGAAUAGUUGAUCCAUUAUUAAUGAUUAUAAGAUUAAGUUACUUUAGGGAUAACAGCGUAAUUUUUUUUGAGAGUUCAUAUCGACAAAAAAGUUUGCGACCUCGAUGUUGGAUUAAGAUAUAUAUUUAGGUGUAGCCGUUUAAAUAUUAAGUCUGUUCGACUUUUAAAUUCUUACAU
rnacentral:rRNA from 2 species